GUGUUGGAUUCAGCAGCACACAUACUGAAACUGGAAUGAUACAGAAAAAAUUAGCAUAGCCCCUGCUAAAUUAUGUCAUGCAAAUUCAUGAAGUAUUUCAUAUUUUU
rnacentral:snRNA from 1 species